UGAGAUUCUCAUUCCUCCAUUU
rnacentral:miRNA from 1 species